GAGUUUGAUCUUGGCUCAGAACGAACGCUGGCGGCAGGCUUAACACAUGCAAGUCGAACGGGUGUAGCAAUACAUCAGUGGCAGACGGGUGAGUAACACGUGGGAACCUUCCUAGGGGUACGGAACAACUCAGGGAAACUUGAGCUAAUACCGUAUACGUCCGUGAGGAGAAAGAUUUAUCGCCCUUAGACGGGCCCGCGUCGGAUUAGCUAGUUGGUGAGGUAACGGCCCACCAAGGCGACGAUCCGUAGCUGAUCUGAGAGGAUGAUCAGCCACACUGGGACUGAGACACGGCCCAGACUCCUACGGGAGGCAGCAGUGGGGAAUCUUGGACAAUGGGCGCAAGCCUGAUCCAGCCAUGCCGCGUGAGUGAAGAAGGCCUUC
rnacentral:rRNA from 1 species